rnacentral:rRNA from 1 species
CCGUGGGACUAAGCAUAUCAAUAAGCGGAGGAAAAGAAACUAACAAGGAUUCCCCUAGUAACUGCGAGUGAAGCGGGAAAAGCUCAAAUUUAAAAUCUGGUGGUCUUUGGCCAUCCGAGUUGUAAUUUAGAGAAGCGUCUUCCGCGCUGGGCCGUGCACAAGUCUCCUGGAAUGGAGCGUCACAGAGGGUGAGAAUCCCGUCUUUGGCAUGGACACACCAGGGCUUUUGUGAUGCGCUCUCGAAGAGUCGAGUUGUUUGGGAAUGCAGCUCAAAAUGGGUGGUGAACUCCAUCUAAAGCUAAAUAUUGGCGAGAGACCGAUAGCGAACAAGUACCGUGAGGGAAAGAUGAAAAGCACUUUGGAAAGAGAGUGAAACAGUACGUGAAAUUGUUGAAAGGGAAACGCUUGAAGUCAGUCGCGUCGACCGAGACUCAGCCUUGCCUUGGCUUGGUGUACUUCUCGGCCGACGGGUCAGCAUCAAUUUUGCCCCUUGGAUAAUGAUGAGGGAAACGUGACACCUUUAUGGUGUGUUAUAGUCUCUCGUCGCAUGCAAGGGUCGGGAUUGAGGAACUCAGCACGCACCUUUGGGUGUCGGGGCUUUGCCCACGAUACGUGCUUAGGAUGUUGGCGUAAUGGCUUUAAACGACCCGUCUUGAAACACGGACCAAGGAGUCUAACAUGCCUGCGAGUGUUCGGGUGGAAAACCCGUGCGCGUAAUGAAAGUAAAAGUUGGGACCUCUGUCGUGGAGGGCACCGACGCCCGGACCAGACCUUCUGUGACGGCUCUGCGGUAAAGCAUGUAUGUUAGGACCCGAAAGAUGGUGAACUAUGCCUGAAUAGGGUGAAGCCAGAGGAAACUCUGGUGGAGGCUCGUAGCGAUUCUGACGUGCAAAUCGAUCGUCAAAUUUGGGUAUAGGGGCGAAAGACUAAUCGAACCAUCUAGUAGCUGGUUCCUGCCGAAUUCCCCUUCAGGAA